rnacentral:rRNA from 1 species
AUUGAACGCUGGCGGCAUGCUUUACACAUGCAAGUCGAACGGUAACAGGCCGCAAGGUGCUGACGAGUGGCGAACGGGUGAGUAAUGCAUCGGAACGUGCCCAGUCGUGGGGGAUAACGCAGCGAAAGCUGUGCUAAUACCGCAUACGAUCUAUGGAUGAAAGCUGGGGACCGUAAGGCCUCGCGCGAUUGGAGCGGCCGAUGUCAGCUAAGCUAGUUGGUGGGGGAAAGGCCCACCAAGGCGACGAUCUGUAGCUGGUCUGAGAGGACGACCAGCCACACUGGGACUGAGACACGGCGCAGACUCCUACGGGGGGCAGCGGUGGGGAAUUUUGGACAAUGGGCGCAAGCCUGAUCCAGCAAUGCCGCGUGCAGGAAGAAGGCCUUCGGGUUGUAAACUGCUUUUGUACGGAACGAAACGGUCUGGGUUAAUACCCUGGGCUAAUGACGGUACCGUAAGAAUAAGCACCGGCUAACUACGUGCCAGCAGCCGCGGUAACAC